rnacentral:rRNA from 1 species
AUUGAACGCUGGCGGCAUGCUUUACACAUGCAAGUCGAACGGUAACAGGCCGCAAGGUGCUGACGAGUGGCGAACGGGUGAGUAAUGCAUCGGAACGUGCCCAGUCGUGGGGGAUAACGCAGCGAAAGCUGUGCUAAUACCGCAUACGACUUGUGGAUGAAAGCGGGGGACCGUAAGGCCUCGCGCGAUUGGAGCGGGCGAUGUCAGAUUAGGUAGUUGGUGGGGUAAAGGCUCACCAAGCCGACGAUCUGUAGCUGGUCUGAGAGGACGACCAGCCACACUGGGACUGAGACACGGCCCAGACUCCUACGGGAGGCAGCAGUGGGGAAUUUUGGACAAUGGGCGCAAGCCUGAUCCAGCAAUGCCGCGUGCAGGAAGAAGGCCUUCGGGUUGUAAACUGCUUUUGUACGGAGCGAAAAGGCUCUCUCUAAUCCAGGGGGCUCAUGACGGUACCGUAAGAAUAAGCACCGGCUAACUACGUGCCAGCCGCCGCCGUAACAC